UACGUAGGUGGCAAGCGUUGUCCGGAAUUAUUGGGCGUAAAGCGCGCGCAGGCGGUCCUUUAAGUCUGAUGUGAAAGCCCACGGCUCAACCGUGGAGGGUCAUUGGAAACUGGGGGACUUGAGUGCAGAAGAGGAAAGCGGAAUUCCACGUGUAGCGGUGAAAUGCGUAGAUAUCGGAAGGAACACCAGUGGCGAAAGCGGCUUCCUGGUCCAGCACCGACGUUCAGGCACGAAAGCGUGGGGAGCAAACAGG
rnacentral:rRNA from 1 species